UACGGGGGGGGCAAGCGUUGUUCGGAAUUACUGGGCGUAAAGGGCGCGUAGGCGGGUGGUCAAGUCUCUCGUGAAAGCCCACGGCUCAACCGGGGAACUGCGGCUGAUACUGUCUGGCUAGAGUCCGGGAGAGGAGGGUGGAAUUCCCGGUGUAGGGGUGAAAUGCGUAGAUAUCGGGAGGAACACCGGCGGCGAAGGCGGCCUUCUGGACGGUGACUGACGCUGAGACGCGAAAGCGUGGGGAGCAAACAGG
rnacentral:rRNA from 1 species